UUUUUUUUUGAAUACCAGGAAGUUCUGGGCCGAAACUCGUAAUCCCUCAGGCCCGAAACUACAUCAUGUAAUAUUAGUUUUGUCACAAACGUCAAUCGAACCGGCGACCUCUAAGCUUCGCUUAGGGUCUUAUACCAAUUGAGCUAACGACACUUGGUAUUUUAACCGAACUUUCGACAUACACAAAUAAUUAUAUUUGUUUCACAAAAUUUAAGUAU
rnacentral:sRNA from 1 species